AGAGUUUGAUCCUGGCUCAGAUUGAACGCUGGCGGCAUGCCUUACACAUGCAAGUCGAACGGCAGCACGGAGCUUGCUCUGGUGGCGAGUGGCGAACGGGUGAGUAAUAUAUCGGAACGUACCCUGGAGUGGGGGAUAACGUAGCGAAAGUUACGCUAAUACCGCAUACGAUCUCAGGAUGAAAGCAGGGGACCGCAAGGCCUUGUGCUCCUGGAGCGGCCGAUAUCUGAUUAGCUAGUUGGUGGGGUAAAAGCCCACCAAGGCAUCGAUCAGUAGCUGGUCUGAGAGGACGACCAGCCACACUGGAACUGAGACACGGUCCAGACUCCUACGGGAGGCAGCAGUGGGGAAUUUUGGACAAUGGGGGCAACCCUGAUCCAGCAAUGCCGCGUGAGUGAAGAAGGCCUUCGGGUUGUAAAGCUCUUUUGUCAGGGAAGAAAAGGCUGUGGCUAAUAUCUACGGCUCAUGACGGUACCUGAAGAAUAAGCACCGGCUAACUACGUGCCAGCAGCCGCGGUAAUACGUAGGGUGCAAGCGUUAAUCGGAAUUACUGGGCGUAAAGCGUGCGCAGGCGGUUUUGUAAGUCUGUUGUGAAAUCCCCGGGCUCAACCUGGGAAUGGCAAUGGAGACUGCAAGGCUAGAGUUUGGCAGAGGGGGGUAGAAUUCCACGUGUAGCAGUGAAAUGCGUAGAUAUGUGGAGGAACACCGAUGGCGAAGGCAGCCCCCUGGGUCAAAACUGACGCUCAUGCACGAAAGCGUGGGGAGCAAACAGGAUUAGAUACCCUGGUAGUCCACGCCCUAAACGAUGUCUACUAGUUGUCGGGUCUUAAUUGACUUGGUAACGCAGCUAACGCGUGAAGUAGACCGCCUGGGGAGUACGGUCGCAAGAUUAAAACUCAAAGGAAUUGACGGGGACCCGCACAAGCGGUGGAUGAUGUGGAUUAAUUCGAUGCAGCGCGAAAAACCUUACCUACCCUUGACAUGUACGGAACGCCGAAGAGAUUUGGUGGUGCUCGAAAGAGAGCCGUAACACAGGUGCUGCAUGGCUGUCGUCAGCUCGUGUCGUGAGAUGUUGGGUUAAGUCCCGCAACGAGCGCAACCCUUGUCAUUAGUUGCUACGAAAGAGCACUCUAAUGAGACUGCCGGUGACAAACCGGAGGAAGGUGGGGAUGACGUCAAGUCCUCAUGGCCCUUAUGGGUAGGGCUUCACACGUCAUACAAUGGUACAUACAGAGGGCCGCCAACCCGCGAGGGGGAGCUAAUCCCAGGAAGUGUAUCGUAGUCCGGAUUGUAGUCUGCAACUCGACUGCAUGAAGUUGGAAUCGCUAGUAAUCGCGGAUCAGCAUGUCGCGGUGAAUACGUUCCCGGGUCUUGUACACACCGCCCGUCACACCAUGGGAGCGGGUUUUACCAGAAGUAGGUAGCUUAACCGUAAGGAGGGCGCUUACCACGGUAGGAUUCGUGACUGGGGUGAAGUCGUAACAAGGUAACC
rnacentral:rRNA from 1 species